UACAGAGGGUGCAAACGUUGCUCGGAAUCACUGGGCGUAAAGCGCACGUAGGCGGAUCGCUAAGUCAGGGGUGAAAUCCUGGAGCUCAACUCCAGAACUGCCUUUGAUACUGGCAAUCUCGAGUCCGGGAGAGGUGAGUGGAACUGCGAGUGUAGAGGUGAAAUUCGUAGAUAUUCGCAAGAACACCAGUGGCGAAGGCGGCUCACUGGCCCGGUACUGACGCUGAGGUGCGAAAGCGUGGGGAGCAAACAGG
rnacentral:rRNA from 1 species